rnacentral:rRNA from 1 species
AAUGGCCGGUACAGACGGACGCAAGCGCGAGUGGAGCAAAUCCUAAAAAGCCGGUCUCAGUUCGGAUCGAAGUCUGCAACCCGACUUCGUGAAGUUGGAUUCGCUAGUAAUCGCGCAUCAGCCAUGGCGCGGUGAAUACGUUCCCGGGCCUU